UACGUAGGGUGCAAGCGUUGUCCGGAAUUAUUGGGCGUAAAGAGCGUGUAGGCGGCCCGAUUAGUCCGCUGUGAAAGUCCAGGGCUCAACCCUGGAAUGCCGGUGGAUACUGUCGGGCUAGAGUCCGGAAGGGGCGAGUGGAAUUCCUGGUGUAGCGGUGAAAUGCGCAGAUAUCAGGAGGAACACCAAUGGCGAAGGCAGCUCGCUGGGACGUGACUGACGCUGAAACGCGAAAGCGUGGGGAGCAAACAGG
rnacentral:rRNA from 1 species